UAAAACGCAGCUGAUUCACGAAGUUCAAACUCCCUCCCACGAAGCUCAUUCACGAAGUUCAGACUCAGUCUCUAUUUUGCAAGGCACAGAUUCAAUUUCUCAGUUUCUAUUUCACAAUUUCUAAGCUCAAACUUUGGAACUCUGUUUCUAUUUCUCAGUUUCAACAAGUAAAUUAUAUGAUAUUGCUUCUUUUUGUGUUGACUGUGAUGGAUUUUUCUUUAUCAACUGUGAUGGAUUUUGUUAGAUUUACUGCCAUUUAUUCUUUAAUAUUUAAUUGUUUUAUGUUUAUCAGUUUGUUAAAUAAUAUGUCCUAAGGAAUUAGAUUUUUCUCUCGGUGAUUCAUUCUAAGUAUGUAAAACGUGGGUUUGUUAGUGCUUUGUUUCUGUUUUCAAUUUGUAAGGCUAUAUAGCCAACAGUUUGCUUUGAAUUGAAUAAUAAGGUAUUCUCUCUGAAUGUGUAUAUCAGUGCUUCAGUUUCUACAAUUUUAGGAUUAUAAAGUUUAUGGUUCUAAGACUCUAAUGGCUAUUGUGUAAUGCUGUUAAGAAAUUUUAUUGUAUGCCUCAUCUAUUUUCUUCUUCUAGAUCUAUGUUUUUUUUUUUAUAAUGGGGGAGAUGAUGCAACUUCGUUACAAAAUUCUUUUAGAUCUAUGUUAAUGAUCUAAAAACAAUUUCUGAUUUAUAAACAAUAAUGUAAUUAUUUAAUUAUUUAAAAAUCUGAUUAUUAAAAAAAAUCUGAUUUUUAAAUAAUUAAAUAAUUACAUUAUUUUUUUAAAAUGAAUUAUGCAUUAUUGAGGGCUGCAGGCCGUCAAUAACGUUUUUAAAAGUUGACAGUCAUUA
rnacentral:lncRNA from 1 species